rnacentral:lncRNA from 1 species
UUCUAAAAAAUUUAUGAUAUCCUGCAGCCAAAUUAUGAUUUUCUAUAUAUAGAAUAUCAUAAUUUUUCUUCUAAAAAAUUUAAAGAAUAUAUAUUUUUAUCAUUGAAAAUUUAUAAAACUUUUAAAUGAUAAAAAUAUCCUUCCCUUAUGAUAUCCUGUGAUCAAAUUAUGACUUUCUGUAUGCAGAAAAUCAUAAUUGAAUCACAGGAUAUC